GAUGAACGCUGGCGGCGUGCUUAACACAUGCAAGUCGAACGAUGAAGCCCAGCUUGCUGGGUGGAUUAGUGGCGAACGGGUGAGUAACACGUGAGUAACCUGCCCUUAACUCUGGGAUAAGCCUGGGAAACUGGGUCUAAUACCGGAUAGGAGCGUCCACCGCAUGGUGGGUGUUGGAAAGAUUUAUCGGUUUUGGAUGGACUCGCGGCCUAUCAGCUUGUUGGUGAGGUAAUGGCUCACCAAGGCGACGACGGGUAGCCGGCCUGAGAGGGUGACCGGCCACACUGGGACUGAGACACGGCCCAGACUCCUACGGGGGGCAGCAGUGGGGAAUAUUGCACAAUGGGCGCAAGCCUGAUGCAGCGACGCCGCGUGAGGGAUGACGGCCUUCGGGUUGUAAACCUCUUUCAGUAGGGAAGAAGUGAAAGUGACGGUACCUGCAGAAGAAGCACCGGCUAACUACGUG
rnacentral:rRNA from 1 species